rfam:Triticum aestivum genome assembly, contig: Triticum_aestivum_CS42_TGACv1_scaffold_147397_2BS
GUACUACUCCCUCCGUUCCGAAUUAUUUGUCGCACGUAUGGAUGUAUCUAGAUGUAUUUUAGUUCUAGAUACAUCUAUUUUAGCGAUGAGUAAUUUAGAACGGAGGGAGUAAUUA